CCCAAACCCCAGGAGGUGAGCGCCUGGCCUCCCUCCAGGCCCCAGGCAGUUGGCGGGAGAAGGAUGCCCCAUGGAUUCCUGGCCCUCUUUCCCACUUCCAAGCUGCCCAUUCAGAGGAGGUGAGAAAGGCGCAGGCCUCUUCCUCCACAGUUGCUUUCGGAAAUUGCCUCGGGGUUUUUGGGCCAGGGUGAGGCUCUUAGCUGUUCCAAAGCCAAUUAAUGCCCUGUUGUCAGCUUCUCACCUUCAUCUUCUUCCGCUCCAACAUGUGUCAUCCCCUCUACUCUCCUGAAGCUGUUCUGCGGCCGGUACCCUCUCUGACAAGAGCUCCGUUCUGGCUUCCUCUUAGGAAGGGUGGAGGAGGAAAUGGCCCAUUUAUUGAACGGUCAUCAUAUGUCAGGUGCAGGAAUGCAACUGUGAACCACCAGACAAGGCCCCUGUCCUCAGGGAGAUCACAGUCACAGGGAGAAAGGGCCACCUCAAUCGCCCCACUUUGGGGAACUGCUAUACCCCAAUCCAAUCAUGACAUUCUAGUGGACCCGCUAGUCACUGCACCCCACCCUGUGGCCACAGGGGUGAUCAAGGGACGGGGGAGAGACCAUGGAGCUGCCCUCAUUUCCAGAGCUGCAAUGUUGCCAGUUGGGAGUGCUGGUGGCCAUCUCCCCCAACAUGGAGAGCAUUCAUCUACAGUAACAGAAAAGAAAAGAAACAGAGAAGAAUUCAGGAGGCAAAAAGAGAUGAGACAAUAUCAUCUGAAUUCCUCCAUGCUGUCUGCUUCUGGGCCCAACCACCUCCAGGUGAAAGACUGACUCUGUUCUUCAUUUCACAAGCUUUGACUGAGUUCCCAGUGCAGGAAGGAGAACACAGAAGAGUAAGGUAGUGUCGCUGUCCCUGGGGAGUGAUUGUGCUGUGACAGACAUAUGGACAUGUGCAUGGAGGCAGAUACACAUAUGCACACACUCAUGGGGAUAACACAGGGGGCACAAAAGCAAGAGUGUGCAACUCUCAUCUGGGCGAACAUCUGGGAGGCGGUGGCUCCACAAAGACUUCAUGGAGUUGGUGGCCCCAGAGGAGUCUUGAAGCUCCAUUGGCAAGAGCAAUCCUCAAUGGGCCUGCCCUUCCAAGUAACAGCCUAGGUUUCCAAAGCUGCUCAGUGGGAAAUCCUUUGUGGACCUAUUGCUAAGAAUAAGCCCUUGUCACACGAGCACACUGCCAGCUGAAGGCCUUCUCUCAGAGGUGGCACAAUACUUACUGGAAGGGAACCAUCGAAUGCGGAUGCCCUGAGCUGUCACCCCCACAGACCUCCCAUUGUGUCCAUCAUUUCCUCCGGAAGUUUCGAUGUUGGAAGGCCGCCCUGACCUACCUCUUCAGGUUGAACAAAUGAUCCAAUUAUCUAUGUACGAUCCCAGAUUGUCUUGAGCUGAAUGGAUGGGAAUGGGGGGGCGGCUGUCUUGAAAAGAAAAUGCCAGAGGGAGUCCAGCCAUCCACAAGCUGUUAGCUGGAGCCGAUUGCCCACAAAGGAUCCCUUUGUUAUUCCAGGAGGUGUUGUCACAAGAGCUUGGCCACAGCUCUCGAAGCACGUCCAGGAACUGUUCUAGUGAGAGCGCUGGCAGGGAGCUCUGUCUGGUGGCCUGGAACAGAUUCUAAUCUUGAGGAGACUGGGAGGGGUAACACCCGCCAACCUGCUCAGCACCACCUGCCCCGGGAGCUGACCAUCCCAUGGGCAGUGACCAGGGAGCAUGGCCAGCACUCCACGGGCCAGAUCUUCACAAGGAAAGGGCUUGUGAGUUUCUGGCUAGCUUCUUCUCUGAAAGCUUCCAAGGGCUCGUGCUUCCAUCUUAAACAAUUGCGGGACGAUAGCAGAAACAAUGGCAAAUGUUCCCCUGUGGUUUGUAUAACACAGGCUCUCCGUCAUUCAGUCAUCCCCACGUUGGCCACAGCAGAGUACCUGUGGAUAGGAAAUUGCUGUGAAUUGCCACCCUCCUACAGAAGGUGACCAUAUAAAUUAUCUUUCAAGUCUGAACACCUUGAAGAGUCAAAGGUGGUACUAUUAAUAAUUACACUGGGACAACUGGCCUGAAUUGGGACUACCCCGGGUAAAUAUAGGAGUUUGGGCUCCCUACUUAGUCCCUCAAAAAAAAGGUCAAGAUGAAAGAAUGAUACCUUGAAGCAAAUUGUUGGUGGAGAUGGCCAAGAAACGUUUCCAAAGUCCUCUUUUGCUUCAUGUCUUUCACUCCAUGUUUUGCAACAGGAUGUUCUGAAUCAAUGUUGGCACAGCUUGCCUCAGUGACCUCCGUCCGGGCUUUGCCAAGGAUGUCAUAGCCAAGAACAUGGUCUAGCUGCAGUUCUCUGUGCAACUAUUCUCCCAAAAGGUUGUUAGGGACGGUAU